AUGAACGCUAGCUACAGGCUUAACACAUGCAAGUCGAGGGGCAGCAUUUUAGUUUGCUUGCAAACUAAAGAUGGCGACCGGCGCACGGGUGAGUAACACGUAUCCAACCUGCCGAUAACUCGGGGAUAGCCUUUCGAAAGAAAGAUUAAUAUCCGAUAGUAUAUUAAAACCGCAUGGUUUUACUAUUAAAGAAUUUCGGUUAUCGAUGGGGAUGCGUUCCAUUAGUUUGUUGGCGGGGUAACGGCCCACCAAGACUACGAUGGAUAGGGGUUCUGAGAGGAAGGUCCCCCACAUUGGAACUGAGACACGGUCCAAACUCCUACGGGAGGCAGCAGUGAGGAAUAUUGGUCAAUGGACGAGAGUCUGAACCAGCCAAGUAGCGUGAAGGAUGACUGCCCUAUGGGUUGUAAACUUCUUUUAUAUGGGAAUAAAGUAUUCCACGUGUGGGAUUUUGUAUGUACCAUAUGAAUAAGGAUCGGCUAACUCCGUGCCAGCAGCCGCGGUAAUACGGAGGAUCCGAGCGUUAUCCGGAUUUAUUGGGUUUAAAGGGAGCGUAGGUGGAUUGUUAAGUCAGUUGUGAAAGUUUGCGGCUCAACCGAAAAAUUGCAGUUGAAACUGGCAGUCUUGAGUACAGUAGAGGUGGGCGGAAUUCGUGGUGUAGCGGUGAAAUGCUUAGAUAUCACGAAGAACUCCGAUUGCGAAGGCAGCUCACUAGACUGCAACUGACACUGAUGCUCGAAAGUGUGGGUAUCAAACAGGAUUAGAUACCCUGGUAGUCCACACAGUAAACGAUGAAUACUCGCUGUUUGCGAUAUACAGUAAGCGGCCAAGCGAAAGCAUUAAGUAUUCCACCUGGGGAGUACGCCGGCAACGGUGAAACUCAAAGGAAUUGACGGGAGCCCGCACAAGCAGUGGAGUAUGUGGUUUAAUUCGACGCAACGCGAAGAACCUUACCAAGUCUUGACAUCCUGCGACGAUGCUGGAAACAGUAUUUUCCUUCGGGACGCAGAGACAGGUGGUGCAUGGUUGUCGUCAGCUCGUGCCGUGAGGUGUCGGCUUAAGUGCCAUAACGAGCGCAACCCUUAUCUUUAGUUACUAACAGGUCAUGCUGAGGACUCUAGAGAGACUGCCGUCGUAAGAUGUGAGGAAGGUGGGGAUGACGUCAAAUCAGCACGGCCCUUACGUCCGGGGCUACACACGUGUUACAAUGGGGGGUACAGAAGGCAGCUACCUGGCGAUAGGAUGCUAAUCCCAAAAACCUCUCUCAGUUCGGAUCGAAGUCUGCAACCCGACUUCGUGAAGCUGGAUUCGCUAGUAAUCGCGCAUCAGCCAUGGCGCGGUGAAUACGUUCCCGGGCCUUGUACACACCGCCCGUCAAGCCAUGAAAGCCGGGGGUACCUGAAGUACGUAACCGCAAGGAGCGUCCUAGGGUAAAACUGGUAAUUGGGGCU
rnacentral:rRNA from 1 species